GACGAACGCUGGCGGCGUGCUUAACACAUGCAAGUCGAACGAGUGGCGAACGGGUGAGUAAUACGUGGGUAACCUGCCCUCUUUUUGGGAUAAGCCUUGGAAACGGGGUCUAAUACCGAAUAAGGUUGAUGGGCUCGGGGCCUAUCAGCUGGUUGGUGGGGUGAUGGCCUAGCAAGGCGGUGACGGGUAGCCGGCCUGAGAGGGUGAUCGGGCACAAUGAGACGAAGAUACGGCCCAGACUGCUACGGGAGGGAGCAGUGGGGGAUAUUUCGCAAUGGUCGAAAGCCUAAUGCGGCGACGCCACGUCGGGUAUGAAGGCGUUCGGGUUGUAAACCUCUUACGCUAUGGAAUUGGUAGGUGGAGAAGAAGCGCCGGCUAACUACGUGCCAGCAGCCGCGGUAAUAC
rnacentral:rRNA from 1 species